rnacentral:lncRNA from 1 species
GUUGUGCAAGCAGGCUCUGGAGACCCGCAGGCUCCUGGGCAGAGGGCUGCCUUCUGUGUGGGCUUGCCCCUCGCCACACCUGGCCAGGAGCCUCCCCCAGCCCCGUGACCCUUGUGUCAGAGCCUGGCCAGAUGACAGACGGCCUGGGGUGCAGGCGAGACCCACUGAACUGGCAGCUGAGGACAGGUCCAGGCCCAGUGGCUGGGGGACUUCUCAGAGCAGGUACCACAACAGCUACCCAAGGACUCAGGACUUUUCUCCCACAGCCAGACUUGGUGAUUGCAUGAAGGAGCCCAGCCUCGGAUGACCUUUCCCCGUGACAAGGCACUAGGAGAGCACAGACCUCCCCACACAAACACUGAGACACCCAACCUUGCGUGACCUUGAGCCAAACACAACUCUUAGGAUGUAACCUGCUUUACAAGAUGAGAAAGACACGAGUAAAAACAUCAGCAGACUCUGGAAGGCGAGCUGGUGGAUUCAACUGGGACUCAGAAGACUGCACUUGAGGAGAUCAUCGUGAGUUGAAGAUCUCUUGCUUAGUCUCGCAGAAACUUCAUCAAGUCUAGCUCACCUGGGAGUCAGUUGGUGCCGGCGAAUCAAUUCGUGCCAGUGAAAUUCACCAAGAGCCUGAUUUACAAACUAGAGAGCCAUGGCCUUAAUUUUAGAGCAAAAGACAAACUUUUCCAAUGAAUAUAGUUUUCUUGUCCAAUAGCUAGGACACCCCCCUCCACCUGCUGUGUACUAAUGAAGCAGAUUUUUUUUUUUGAGUUUUGCUCUUGUUGCCCGGCUGGAGUGCAAUGACACCAUCU